CUUUAUGUCAUGCCAAUGAAAGCUUUAGGCGACUAACUGAUGGCGCAGAGACAUGCAAUAAUGUGGCUUGUAGGCCUGCUUGUCGUACAGAUUGUGGUAUGUCAACAACCAACUAUAACCAAGUCCGAUGGGAAAAUCAUGUUAAAUUUGGAAUAUGUUAACCAACCAGUUCUGCGAUUUAACCCAAUAUAUACGACUACAUUUAAACCAAUCUUCUCAAUAGUAGCAGAACCAGAACCAACCCUGCAACCAGAACCAACACCAGAACCACAAUCACAAACAGAAGCAAUACCAGAACCGGAACUACAAACAGAAGCAACACCAGAACCACAACCACAACCAGAGUCAACUCCAGAACCAGAGCCAACACCAAAACGAAAGCCAAACCCAAAACCAGAACCAGAAUCACAAACAGAAGAAAUAACAACCGACACACUAUACAAACUAUUACAGUUUUUCAAAAAUUUUGUGUAAUUGAUGCCAAAAGGCCCUCAAUUAUAAGUGUAACAACACAUCAGAUCCAGAAACUACGGAUGGGAGCUUGUAUGAAUGAACUUUAAUUUUAUU